AGAUUUUUUUAUACAUUUCAGGUUGUUGAAAAUGAUGUAUAUUAAUGUUUUAUUAAAUCUAUAUUUAUUAAUUUGUUGAUCAAAACACAUCUUUCUGUAAAAUGUUUUCUUUUAUAUUUUUCGGUUUUGAAUGGGGUUUCAGUGCUUUCUCCUAACAUACAGAGGAUAAAAUGUAUAAAAGAUGGAUGGUUUUGGUAAAUGUUUUACCGUUUUCUGAAAAACUAUAUAUACACACACACAAUAAAGUAUGUUGAGUAACUCUAGAGCGAGAGAUGACUGAAAUAAUACAGCGUUGAUUGAAGUAAAUAGGAUUGAAAGUUUGUCAUUCUGAUCAGGGACUCAAAGUUUCAGAGGACAAAUUAAUCCUGAGCACUCUGAAAGGUUACAAUAAUCUCGCCAUUGAUUUUCAGUUAUGCCUUUUAAUAACACGAAUGAGGAGAAACUCUUUAUAUAAAAUAUUUAUUAAGUUCCACUAACAUUCAGAAAUUCUCCUAGACUUCGGUCUAAGUCUUUUUUAUUUGUUAAAAUAAUGGGAUGAUUCUUCACGGUUUGGUCUGUUAUUUAAAACGUUCAGAUAACAAUGGACGCAUGAAAAUCUCAACAAUGAAGACGAAGCACAAAGACGCCAAAAUGAGAACAGAUUAUUCAAUUCAAAAGACUAAUUGGUAUGAAUUACUAAAGCUAUGGCUGUUUACACCCAUCUCCUUGUUGGCUGACACAUCAGGACCUCACAGGACACCCCCCUUUUAUUGAGAAUGAACUCAGACAGCGUCUGAUGAGCGCCUCUGUUGCAGAUAUGGCACGGGGAGGGAACGGAAGGAUGAAGGAUGAGAAGACAGGAUGAUGAAAGAUCUGUGUACAGGCUGGUGGUCAGACUCUGACCCUUUCAGUCAGUGACCCUGAAAAAUGACAGACUGAUUGACUCUUUGUCACCACUGUGUCAUACGGAUGGCCGUCGUGGCAGCUGUGGAAUGUUCAAAGCACAAAGCGGAGCCAUCAAUCUCUCCUGGAACACGUCUUGUUCCUCUCUGCCCUGAGAUGAUUUCAAACACUACAGGUCUUUUCCUUCAAUCUUUGAAAUUGACAGAUGCUUGCCAAGACUGCUUCCAGUCUGUAUUAAUGUAUACACCCAGAACAAUAAAUACAGCGAUGGAUAGAGAAAGUGUAUAAAAGAGAUCUGAUAAUCCGACAAACAUAUUCCCAAUCCGAUUUCCUUCUCGAUGUAAGUCGCGACUGUUUCAGAGGCGCCACAGUGCACGGAAGCAGAUGUAAUUUCAUUUAUACGUGACGUUUCCCAGCAUGCCCCAUUCAGACGGCAGAUCAUAGCGGGGGGGACACUCUUUUAUACCACGUCUCAGGAGACUUUCUCCAGCGUUAAAGAUCUCACCAGAAGGUGAAGUCAACUAGCAAACAUCCCACAAUAAUGGCACAAAGUGGAUUUAAUGUCUCACAAAGCAUCGGCCGUAAUCCACAAAGAUGACUCUCGCAGUCUUUCAGCGUGUUUUUAUGAUGCUAAUCAGAUCAGUGACAGCUUGAAGUCUACGGCAAUGAAAGCAAAUUUAAUUUUCUGUUUUCACACAAUGCCGCAUUACCGAAACAUACACUUAUUUCUCUACACGCUGAGUUUAAACAUAUGGUCGCAGUAAAGUUUCGGUUAAAACGCCGGCCUGAGAAGCAUUAGAUGUCGAGCCAGUUUUUCAUUUAGCAGUUGUUUUUUAAUCUGGACGUAAGACCCCCCACUGUUAAGACAAGUAUUUACUUUUCUCUCAACAGUUUACAUUUGAUAACAAGUGCGAUAUGUUCACUUUCCUAAGAAGUAUGCUCUCGUGUCACAUUCUGUUGCAGAAGAUAUCAGUGAGAUAGACAGAAUACAAUAAACUUAAUAAACGUAUUACAUAAUUUCUUACGCGACCAUAAAAGACCUAACAUCAUGUGUACCACCCAGGCUGUGAAAACCCAGCUAGUCAUUUUUUGGUUUUCUACAUAAAAUCAUCCUAUGUAAUGUAAAGGACACUUAUACAUUAUGCGAAAUAAAAUAUUGAAUGAGAAAGGCC